UGAGUUUCAUAUUAUAAUAAUUUCUUGUUUUUUUUAUUAUAAUAAAAAUAAUUUUGUUGUAUGUUUGUUUAAGUAUAUUUUAUAGAAUAAAUUAGUUUAAUUAUAGUUUAUUAGUAAUGUAAUUGACUUAUGAAAUAAUUUUUAAUUUUGGUUAAGUAGAUUUAUUUUAUUGUACCUUUUGUAUCAGGGUUUAUCAAAAUUUUAUAAAUCAUUUUAUAAUCUCGAUUUAGGUUGAUUUAUAAUAAAUUUAUUUUUAAUGUUUAAAAAUUAUUUUAAAAUUUAUUAUGGUAAUGAAAUGUUAUUCGUUUUCUAAGAUAUCUAGUUUCUUAAGAAAAAUUUUAAUUUUUUGUAGUUAAUUGUUUUUUUUUCUAUUUUUAGAUAAUUAAUAUUGGCUUAUUUAAUUUUUAAGGGAUAAGCUUUAAAAUUAAAAUCCUAUAAUUACUUAUACUAAGAUAUAAUAGUAAGCUUUAUACCAGCUAUUUUAGAUAAUUACGUUUUAGUUUAUUAUCUUUUAUUUUGAUUUUAUAGAUAUUUUAGGUUUCAUAUUAAGAUUAGUAAUUAAAUUUUAAAGUUUUUUUAAUAAUGAUUGAAUUAGUAUUAUUAUUAGUUUAUAAUAUAUUGUUUUAUAAUUUAUUAUAAGGAACUAGGCAAUUUAAAUUUCCGCCUGUUUAUCAAAAACAUGUCCUCUUGAAUAAUAUUAUGAGGUCUGGUCUGCUCACUGAUAAUUUAAAUAGCCGCGGUAUUUUGACCGUGCAAAGGUAGCAUAAUCAUUAGUCUUUUAAUUUAAGGCUGGAAUGAACGGCUUGACGAGAAAUUAACUGUCUCUUAAUAACUUAAAGAAUUUAACUUUUAAGUUAAAAGGCUUAGAUUUAUUUUUAGGACGAGAAGACCCUAUAGAUCUUUACAUUAAUAUUAUAUUAGGUUUUUAGUUAAUAUUUCCAUAUUUAUUAAUAAUGUUUUGUUGGGGUGACAUAUAAAAUCAAUAAACUUUUUAUUUUAAAAUCAUUGAUUUAUGUUUAUUUUGAUCCAUAAUUUAUGAUCAUGAGAUUAAGUUACCUUAGGGAUAACAGCGUAAUUAUUUUUGAGAGCUCAUAUCGACAAAGUAGAUUGCGACCUCGAUGUUGGAUUAAGAAUAAUUUUAGGUGUAGUAGUCUAAAAAUUAGGUCUGUUCGACCUUUAAAUUCUUACAUGAUCUGAGUUCAAACCGGCGUAAGCCAGGUUGGUUUUUAUCCUAAAUAUUAUAUAUUUUAUAUUAGUACGAAAGGACCAUAUAAUAAAAAUAUUUUUUAAGAUUAGAUUAAUAUUAAUUUA
rnacentral:rRNA from 1 species